rnacentral:rRNA from 1 species
UACGUAGGGUGCAAGCGUUAAUCGGAAUUACUGGGCGUAAAGCGUGCGCAGGCGGUUUUGUAAGUCUGAUGUGAAAUCCCCGGGCUCAACCUGGGAAUGGCAUUUGGGACUGCAAGGCUGGAGUGCGGCAGAGGAGACUGGAAUUCCUGGUGUAGCAGUGAAAUGCGUAGAUAUCAGGAGGAAUACCGAUGGCGAAGGCAGGUCUCUGGGCUGACACUGACGCUCAUGCACGAAAGCGUGGGGAGCAAACAGG